CCAUGUGGGAAAUUGAUCAGGAGGGGAUGCUCUUAAGUUCAAGGUGCACAAUGUACAAAUCAGCCAUAGGGGCAGUGAGCUUAUGGGGAUGGCCUCUACAGACUGCUGGAGUGUUUCGUACCGGAUUUUCGCAACGAUCAAUCACGAUCCUAUCAGGCAGAAUUAAACAGUGGUCUGAUGGAGGGAUCGAUUUGGUGGUUCGAGAGGCGAACACUUCUUGGGUUCAGAAAGGAUGGGGUGCCACAUCUGUGCAAAUUGAUCCUCGUACAUCGGUUCUCGAGUAUCGACUAAGCUCAAUGUUAGAGAACUCAAACUUAAAUACAAUGGCUGCAGAUUUCUUCAAACAUUGGAUGUCAAAAGUCAUAAGAAGACUGAAAAACAAGCUUUGGAUGUUUUUGGAUGUUGAAACCAUGUUUCAUCAAACUAGAGCUACACAUGAUUUUAAGACUCCAACAUGAGGAGAAUGGAGUCUUAAAAUUUUAGUUUCCUUUCUUUCUUCCUCCUUUUUUGGUGGAAGCUAAAUUGCUUUAUUUCCUUUCCUAUGUCAUGUCUCUAGGAUCAAGAUGUUAGUUGAUACUAUCUGUAAAUGUAACUUCAAUGAAUCAGGUUUCUAUCUAUUUGAUACUUACUUUAUCUGGCUAGAAAUUUAUAAAAGAUAUCAGAGAACAC